AUCUUUGUGCUUGGGGCAAUGACACAGCUAACGUGGUUCUAACUGUGGCGCGUCUAUUGCUGGUUGAAAACUAUUUCCAAACCCCCUCUUAGGCCUCGGUUUAUCCUCGGCCUUCGAAAAUUUCUGGAAGGGCUCCCUUUGGGGUAAAACC